rnacentral:misc_RNA from 1 species
CAAUAAGUGUUCUACUGCACUUUUUAAAAUAGUACUCACCUUGUGUGCAAUGUUUGUUGGACUCCUCUCUCGAGAGUUGUUUGACACUUAUACCAACCUUUUUUAUUUUGAACCAUUUUUGUCUGAAAAACAUUUAUGAAUACUUAAUUCUAAAUA